GAUGAACGCUAGCUACAGGCUUAACACAUGCAAGUCGAGGGGCAGCAUGAACUUAGCUUGCUAAGUUUGAUGGCGACCGGCGCACGGGUGAGUAACACGUAUCCAACCUUCCGUUUACUCAGGGAUAGCCUUUCGAAAGAAAGAUUAAUACCUGAUAGUAUGGUGAGAUUGCAUGAUAGCACCAUUAAAGAUUUAUUGGUAAACGAUGGGGAUGCGUUCCAUUAGGUAGUAGGCGGGGUAACGGCCCACCUAGCCGACGAUGGAUAGGGGUUCUGAGAGGAAGGUCCCCCACAUUGGAACUGAGACACGGUCCAAACUCCUACGGGAGGCAGCAGUGAGGAAUAUUGGUCAAUGGGCGAGAGCCUGAACCAGCCAAGUAGCGUGAAGGAUGACUGCCCUAUGGGUUGUAAACUUCUUUUAUACGGGAAUAAAGUGAGGCACGUGUGCCUUUUUGAUGUACCGUAUGAAUAAGGAUCGGCUAACUCCGUGCCAGCAGCCG
rnacentral:rRNA from 1 species